rnacentral:RNase_P_RNA from 1 species
GUAAAUUGGAUGGUCGCGUAUAGCAAGGUCGCAAGGCAGCGUACGAGGAAAGUCCGGGCUCCAUAGAGCAAUGAUGCUGGAUAACGUCCAGUAAGGGUGACCUUAAGGAAAGUGCAACAGAAAAUAACCGCCUAUUUUAUAGGUAAGGGUGAAAAGGUGAGGUAAGAGCUUACCGCUUGUAUGGUGACAUACAAGGUCAAUGUAAACCCCAUCUGGAGCAACACCUAAAAAGAGGGUUAAGACUGCUCGUCGUCCUCUAAAUUGGUGGCUUUGAGACAUAUGGUAACAUAUGUAAUAGAUAAAUGACUGUCCUAGACAGAACCCGGCUUACAGAUUUACUCUA